GGGCGUAAAGAGCUCGUAGGCGGUUUGUCGCGUCUGUCGUGAAAGUCCGGGGCUUAACCCCGGAUCUGCGGUGGGUACGGGCAGACUAGAGUGCAGUAGGGGAGACUGGAAUUCCUGGUGUAGCGGUGGAAUGCGCAGAUAUCAGGAGGAACACCGAUGGCGAAGGCAGGUCUCUGGGCUGUAACUGACGCUGAGGAGCGAAAGCAUGGGGAGCGAACAGGAUUAGAUACCCUGGUAGUCCAUGCCGUAAACGUUGGGCACUAGGUGUGGGGACCAUUCCACGGUUUCCGCGCCGCAGCUAACGCAUUAAGUGCCCCGCCUGGGGAGUACGGCCGCAAGGCUAAAACUCAAAGGAAUUGACGGGGGCCCGCACAAGCGGCGGAGCAUGCGGAUUAAUUCGAUGCAACGCGAAGAACCUUACCAAGGCUUGACAUGUUUUCGACCGCCGUAGAGAUACGGUUUCCCCUUUGGGGCGGAUUCACAGGUGGUGCAUGGUUGUCGUCAGCUCGUGUCGUGAGAUGUUGGGUUAAGUCCCGCAACGAGCGCAACCCUCGUUCCAUGUUGCCAGCACGUAAUGGUGGGGACUCAUGGGAGACUGCCGGGGUCAACUCGGAGGAAGGUGGGGACGACGUCAAAUCAUCAUGCCCCUUAUGUCUUGGGCUUCACGCAUGCUACAAUGGCCGGUACAAUGGGUUGCGAUACUGUGAGGUGGAGCUAAUCCCAAAAAGCCGGUCUCAGUUCGGAUUGGGGUCUGCAACUCGACCCCAUGAAGUCGGAGUCGCUAGUAAUCGCAGAUCAGCAACGCUGCGGUGAAUACGUUCCCGGGCCUUGUACACACCGCCCGUCAAGUCACGAAAGUCGGUAACACCCGAAGCCGGUGGCCUAACCCUUGGGGGGAGCCUCGAAGGGG
rnacentral:rRNA from 1 species